rnacentral:rRNA from 1 species
CCUACGGGUGGCAGCAGUGGGGAAUAUUGCACAAUGGGGGAAACCCUGAUGCAGCGACGCCGCGUGAGUGAAGAAGUACUUCGGUAUGUAAAGCUCUAUCAGCAGGGAAGAAAAUGACGGUACCUGAGUAAUAAUCCCCGGCUAACUACGUGCCAGCCGCCGCGGUAAUACGUAGGGGGCAAGCGUUAUCCGGAUUUACUGGGUGUAAAGGGAGCGUAGACGGCAGUGCAAGUCUGGAGUGAAAGGCGGGGGCUCAACCCCCGGACUGCUCUGGAAACUGUACGGCUGGAGUGCAGGAGAGGUAAGUGGAAUUCCUAGUGUAGCGGUGAAAUGCGUAGAUAUUAGGAGGAACACCAGUGGCGAAGGCGGCUUACUGGACUGUAACUGACGUUGAGGCUCGAAAGCGUGGGGAGCAAACAGGAUUAGAUACCCGGGUAGUC